GCAUCGGUAGCACAGCGGUUAGUGCAGUUUGCCGGAAACAGAAAGACGCGGGUUCAAUUAUUGUCCGAUGUC
rfam:Nippostrongylus brasiliensis genome assembly, scaffold: NBR_scaffold0004574